UAGAAGAUGGCAAGCCUAAGAAUGGUCA
rnacentral:sRNA from 1 species